rnacentral:rRNA from 1 species
AUUGAACGCUGGCGGCAGGCCUAACACAUGCAAGUCGAACGCGUGGCGGACGGGUGAGUAAUGUCUGGGAAACUGACUGAUGGAGGGGGAUAACUACUGGAAACGGUAGCUAAUAACGCAUACCAUCGGAUGUGCCCAGAUGGGAUUAGCUAGUAGGUGGUGCAAAGGCUCAUCUAGGCGACGAUCCCUAGCUGGUCUGAGAGGAUGACCGGCCACACUGGAACUUAGACACUGUCCAUACUCCUACGGGCGGCCGCAGUGGGGAAUAUUGCACAAUGGGCGCAAGCCUGAUGCAGCCAUGCCGCGUGUAUGAAGAAGGCCUUCGGGUUGUAAAGUCCUUUCAGCGGGGAGGCGUUACCCGCAGAAGAAGCACCGGCUAACUCCGUGCCAGCAGCCGCGGUAAUAC